CAGCUCGUUCGCUGAAGAUUUUUUUCAGCGUUCAUGCGUUUCACCUUUAUCCUCUCCACCUCUCUCUUCUCUGUUCUUAUCUACGCACGGGACACUGCUCAUUCACAAUCGUGCAUGGCAUUCGUUUAAGCUGCUCCACGCGCUGAUUCUCAAAAAAAAAUCUAGGAAAAUCUCUUUCAUUCCUAUCCUACCGCCGCUCCAUCUCCGAUUGAUUUUAUCGGCCGACAGCCAAGCUUCUCUCCUGCGCGUCUUCUUCCUUGCUGCUCGCCGCGGUGCUCCUCCUCUCUCCCCUCAGCGCGGUCCUCUUCAAGCUCGCCUGCGCGCGUCCUCCCUGCCCCGAGCUCGCCCCUGGCUCGGAUGGCGCCCAUCUCCCCGUGCUCUGUGCGCCCUCGUCAUGGAGCUGCUCCCAUCGCCGCGCGCGCUGCUCCCUGUUGGCCGCGACGAGCUCGCCCCUGAUUCUUCCCAGCCGCGCGCAGCUUCUUCCCUGACGUGCCCCUGCUUUCCCAUGCCGCGCCCCAGCUCCUGCUUCUUCCCCUGCUCGGCGUCCGGUCCCGGCUCGCCCGAGCUCCCUGCGCGUCUAGCUCGCUCUCCCUCCAACUCGGCGCCCAGCUCUGCCAUGGCCGCGCCGGUUUGGAGCUUUCUGUCGCGCCCUGCCUUUUCCCCAACCGCGCCGGUCAUUGUUUUCCCCAACCUCGCCAGCACUCCUCCCUCUGCCAGCUUGCCGACUGACCAUCGUGAUCCUUAUUUUCCCUCGUCGGCCGAUCUCGCCGCGACUUAGUUUGUCCGUCGUGCUGGUCGCUGUCACAUACUGUGCCUAUUAGCUCGGAUCCUGCCCAGCUCGUCGUUCGCCGUCGAGUCCCGAUAUCGUUCUGGUGGUCGUCGAAGUGAAGCUCUAAACGGAUUCGGCCACAUCCAAGACUACCCAUGUCGUUGUCGUUCGCCUUCGUGCUGUGAGCGACAACAUCGUCAUUUCCCUUCAUGUGCUCAUCCUCCAUCUCUGCCUUGCCAUGGCGCGUGUCGUCCUCUUUAAUCUCAGUAACUCUUUCGAUACGCGUCUCGUCGUGUUUCGCCUCCUCGUGGUCAGCCCCAUCUGGGACGGAAGAUCUCAACACUGCUUCAUAUGGUUGUUUUAAAUGCUGUUUGCGGGGUAGAGAGUUAUGGUGAUAGAUGGUUUUCGCCCUCUCGUCAUGUGCGCAAUCCUCGUCGAUCGUCGCUGGUUUGAGAGAAAUCACCGGAAGGUAUGGAGAAGAAAGUGAAGUCACACGACACCUGUCAGAUGUUCAACGACAAGCUCGAGCUAGGAUUUAUCAGCAUUCGUACGAGUAUUGAGUCGCGUUUGAUGCUGGUGAGCCGAUUUAUAAUUUUUGUAAGUGUAAUACCCAACUUGCAAUUUGUGGAAGAUAGCCUAAGAGGAGAAAUGAUAUUCCUUUGUAUAUAUGUGUGUUGUCCAUAUUUAUCAUCUCAUGAGAACAACACAGGAGAACAAAUAAAUAAAUAAUAAAAAG
rnacentral:misc_RNA from 1 species